rnacentral:rRNA from 1 species
UACGAAGGGGGCUAGCGUUGUUCGGAAUUACUGGGCGUAAAGCGUGCGCAGGCGGCUUCUCAAGUCAGGGGUGAAAGCCCAGAGCUCAACUCUGGAAUUGCCUUUGAGACUGAGUGGCUUGAGUACGAGAGAGGUGAGUGGAAUUCCCCAGUGUAGAGGUGAAAUUCGUAGAUAUUGGGAAGAACACCGGUGGCGAAGGCGGCUCACUGGCUCGUAACUGACGCUCAUGCACGACAGCGUGGGGAUCAAACAGG